AUGAAGACGGUGCUGGACCCAUUGCUUCGCCAUGGCAUGCUGGUGUUUAUGGACGACAUCCUCGUCCACUCGUCGACCUUGGAAAAGCAUAUGUGGUUGUUGCGUCAGGUGUUGCAACUAUUGACCGAGCAUGGUCUGAAGGUGAAGCUGUCCAAAUGUUCCUUCGUGCAACAGUAA
rnacentral:rRNA from 1 species